rnacentral:rRNA from 1 species
UGGGCAACCUGCCCUCAGCUCUGGGAUAACUCCGGGAAACCGGGGCUAAUACCGGAUAUGACUUGAGUCGACAUCGACUUGGGUGUAAAGAAUCUCGGCUGAGGAUGGGCCCGCGGCUUAUCAUGCUUGAUGGUGAGGUAAUGGCCCACCAUGGCGACGACGGGUAGCCGGCCUGGAGAGGGCGACCGGCCACACUGGGACUGAGACACGGCCCAGACUCCUACGGGUG